rnacentral:lncRNA from 1 species
UUAAUAAAAAAUAUAAUGUUAUAUCGUGAGGUAUGCAAUCAGUAUGUAAUAACUCAUAUAUUGUAGUUCAGGAAUAACCUGUGGAGUACACGAAUAAGUGGUAGUCCAAUUUUACAUAUUCCUCUUUUCCACGCACUCUUAACUAACCCACAACCUACCAAAAUAAAUUUGGCUUUGAUUGUCUUAAUUGCCAACAUGCCCCAACGAAUGAGCUGGACAACGCUCCAUUGGUUUCUUUUGUUAGAAAAACUGCACUGAACACCUCAUGCUUUCUCUACAGGUAAAUCUAAUUCUGAGUCCAAAGCUCUAGGAAUUCAUCAAUAACAAACUUCUCAUACAUAGCUCUAGGAAUCCAUCAAUAACAAACUUCUCAUAUAUCUCACAAUGCACAUACAAAAUCCCAGCUACCGAAAACUCACCAAAAACAUCAUUAAACUUCAAAUCCAUAAACUUCAUCGGAAAAACAAACAAUAAAAUAAAAACAUACCGGCAUCAUCAUCAUCCAUGUCAUUAGUUUCUUCUUCAGAGUGAAAUCGUUUCAGAAUGUCGAGAUUUUUCUGUUUCGUUUCAUCAUGGGCCCCAAUUGCCCCAGCUCCCCACCACAUUCUCGCGCAUAAACAAUUCGGUACACCUGAGACUGCUCAAUCAAAUGAAAUCACAGAACAAUCAAACACAAAAUCACAACAAAAAUAAAUAAAAUAAAAUAAAUCUGUACAAAUUUGCAUACGUACCUUAUAGCAGUGCAGCGGUAGUGUGAGUUUCAUCAGGGAUAUGUGUACUGCAAAAAGUAAAGAUAACAAAUUUAUCAAUCUUAAAUUCUUUACCUUGGCUUUUGAUUGAAUAAAAUCAUCUAAAUUAAGAGGCCUUAACUCCUCCAAUUGGAUUUAUCUCUUAUUGGUAUGGGGGUAUGAACUGUGAUAGGAAGUGUAAAUUUAAAAUGGUGAUUGAAUCACCCAUUUAUUAAUGGAACCUAGAGAAGAAAAAAAAAAACGCAGAGAGAGAGAAUGGUCCAUAUGGCUACAGAGAAGCUGGGAGAAAAUUAAC